AAACAAUAAAACAAAUAAAAGAAAACCUUCGCUUAAAGCCUCGACAGAGAACCAAAGCGUCGAGAAAGUAAAGCCACCGCUCACUUAAUGAAGAAGACCCGGCCAUCUCUACAAACUCCGUACGACCAGUGGUCAGAGCAAACCACAUGUGUGAUCCAUAAAACACAUCAUUACAUCUGUAUCAACAUGAGAGCGGCUCAACCCAAUUACAACAGAUUGGAAGAAAAAGGCUGCGCCGCAUUUUUGGGAGCCAUUGGGAUAGAUCUGCAACAAGCAUAAAUACUGUCCGCAUUAAUCAAUAACAACGCUGUAUUAUUGAUAUUGCUGUACUUAAACUUGGUGUAAUUUCACAACCAGUCUGCAAAAAUGAAGCGCAUGCAGGGUAGCUGCACAUCUUACAUUCUGCAGUGUAAUCAUCUGGUAUCCUCACUCAGUCGCUGUUAUUUGACCUUGCUAUGAUUAAUCAUCAUCCCUGCUGCACACACGCACACACACCCAUUUAUACAUAGUAAUUUACACACAAAUGCACACGCAGUUGAUGCGCAGUCCUGUGCAGCUCUGCAGUACGAUCUCUGCUGCUGCUGCUGCUGCUGCUGAUUCCUGCCUCUCGGCUGCCAGAGGCUCACAAUGCAGCAAGGUGACUCAAUGUUAUUGUCUUCUCCUCAGAGAGCCUCCUCCUGCUGAAUCACAGCUUACUAAAGGUGCUGAGCAGAAAAUAUAAUAAAAGAUUUUCUUGUUCUU